GAUGAACGCUGGCGGCGUGCCUAAUACAUGCAAGUCGAGCGAACGGACGAGAAGCUUGCUUCUCUGAUGUUAGCGGCGGACGGGUGAGUAACACGUGGAUAACCUACCUAUAAGACUGGGAUAACUUCGGGAAACCGGAGCUAAUACCGGAUGAUAUUUUGAACCGCAUGGUUCAAAAGUGAAAGACGGUCUUGCUGUCACUUAUAGAUGGAUCCGCGCUGCAUUAGCUAGUUGGUAAGGUAACGGCUUACCAAGGCAACGAUGCAUAGCCGACCUGAGCGGGUGAUCGGCCACACUGGAACUGAGACACGGUCCAGACUCCUACGGGAGGCAGCAGUAGGGAAUCUUACGCAAUGGGCGAAAGCCUGACGGAGCAACGCCGCGUGAGUGAUGAAGGUCUUCGGAUCGUAAAACUCUGUUAUUAGGGAAGAACAUAUGUGUAAGUAACUGUGCACAUCUUGACGGUACCUAAUCAGAAAGCCACGGCUAACUACGUG
rnacentral:rRNA from 1 species